UACCCGCAGCACAAGUGGUGGUCAUUAUUAUUGGGCCUAAAGCGUCCGUAGCUGGCCUGUUAGAUGCCUGGGUAAAUCGAUGCGCUCAACGUAUCGAACUCCGGGUAGACCGGCAGGCUUGGGACCGGGAGAGGCGUGAGCUACUCGAGGGGUAGGGGUAAAAUCCUGUAAUCCUUCGGGGAGGACCAGUGGCGAAGGCGUCACGCUAGAACGGCUCCGACAGUGAGGGACGAAGCCCUGGGGCGCAAACGGG
rnacentral:rRNA from 1 species